AAAAUUAGCCGGGCAUGGUGGCGGGCACCUGUAGUCCCAGCUACUCGGGAGGCUGACACAGGAGAAUCGCUUGAACCCGGGAGGCAGAGGUUGCAGUGAGCCAAGAUCGUGCCACUGCACACCAGCCUGGGCAACAGAGCGACUCCAUCUCAAAAAAAAAAAAAAAAAAGGAAUCAUGUUUCUAUGAUAACAGGAGUGAAGAAGGAAAAAGGAUAAGUGGAAGCAAAUGUGUUUGUAGGUUUGUUGACUGCAGAUGUAUUUAAUUUUGAGGAAACAGUUUAUAGUCAUCAUAUGUCUCCAGUCUCCACCAAGCACUGUUUGGUAGCAGUUGGUACUAGAGGACCCAAAGUACAACUUUGUGACUUGAAGUCUGGAUCCUGUUCUCACAUUCUACAGGGUCACAGACAAGAAAUAUUAGCAGUUUCCUGGUCUCCACGUUAUGACUAUAUCUUGGCAACGGCAAGUGCUGACAGUAGAGUAAAAUUAUGGGAUGUGAGAAGAGCAUCAGGAUGUUUGAUUACUCUUGAUCAACAUAAUGGGAAAAAGUCACAAGCUGUUGAAUCAGCAAACACUGCUCAUAAUGGGAAAGUUAAUGGCUUAUGUUUUACAAGUGAUGGACUUCACCUCCUCACUGUUGGUACAGAUAAUCGAAUGAGGCUCUGGAAUAGUUCCAAUGGAGAAAACACACUUAUCCCCGCCGGAAGUAUAGGAAGAGAGCAAGCGGAUUCGAACCUAUCUGCUUUCAAGCUGGUCAUGAUGAUGAAACUUAGAAACAAAAAUGAAAAGCCAGGUAAAGGUUCCAAGGGCUGUAAGAAGUCUGCAAAACAAAAUGGGAAGAAAGCAACCUCCAAAGUGCCCUCUUCUCCUCAGUUUGUUCACUCCAAUGAUCAUGCCAAUCGAGAGGCUGAAAUAAAGAAGAGGGUUGAGGAGAUGAGGGAGAAGCAGCAAGCUGCCCAGGAGCAAGAAAGACAAAAACGCAGGUCUAUCAAGAGCUACUGUGAGGAUAUCCUAAGACGCCAGGAGGAGUUUCAGUGUAAGGAAGAAGUUUUGCAGGAAUUAAAUAUGUUUCCUCAGCCGGAUGACGAGGCCACUAUGAAGGCUUAUUACAACGAGUUCCGUGAGGUGGUAGAAUACUCUGAUGUGAUUCUGGAAGUCCUGGAUGCCAGAGACCCAUUAGGCUGCUGCUGCUGCUUCCAAAUGGGGGAGGCUAUCCUAUGGGCAGAAGGCAACAAGAAGCUGGUCCUUCUUGAAAAAGAUUGACCUGGACCCCAAGGAGGUUGUGAAGUGGCUGGAUUACCUUCGGAAUGAGUUGCCAACUGUGGCUUUCAAGGCCAGGACCCAGCAUCAGGUCAGCUUUGGAGCUGAAAACCUCAUGAGGGUUCUGGGGAACUAUUGCCGCCUUGGUGAAGUGCGCACCCACAUCCAUAUGGACGUUGUAGGCCUUCCCAAUAUUGGGAAGAGCAGCCUGAUUAAAAGCCUGAAGCACAGCCAUGCAUGCAGUGUGGGAGCCAUUCCUGGGGUCACAAAAUUUCAUGCAGGAGGUCUACCUGGACAAGUUCAUCCGGCUGCUGGAUGCUCCAGCCAUUGUUCCAGGGCCCAGCUCAGAGGUGGGCACCAUCCUGCAUAACUGCAUCCACAUCUAGAGGCUGGCAGACCCCAUGACCCCAGUGGAGACCAUCUUGCAGUGCUGCAACCUGGAGGAGAUUUGCAACUAUUACCUUCUCUCUGGAUACCAGACUACUGAGCACUUUCUGACGGCAGUGGCCCACCAUUUGGGGAAGAAGAGAGACUUACACAGUCAGGAGCAGGCAGCCAAAACUGUCCUAGCUGACUGGGUGAGCGGGAAGAUCAGCUUCUAUAGACCACCACCACCCACUCACACUCUGCCUGCCCAUCUCAGUGCUGAGAAUUAAGGAAAUGACCAAGGUCUUUGACAUUGAGGAUACCGAGCAGGUCAAUGAAGACACCAUGGAAUGCUUGGCCACUGGAGAAUCUGAUGAGCUGUUGGGUGACACAGACCCACUCAAAAUGGAGAUCAAGUUGCUCCAUUCUCCGAUGAUGGAAAUAGCAGAUGCCAUUGAAGAUAAAGCUACUGUGUAUAAGAUUGGAGAUCUCACUGGUUAUUGCACCAAUCCGAAUCGUCAUCAGAUGGGGUGGGCUAAACUCAAUGUAGACCACCACCCUAAAAAAAACAGUAAGGUGGAUGUGUGCCCAGUGGACUGCUGCCCAGUACUGCAGAGGAUCAUGGAGAUGGACCCCCUACAACAGGGCCAGGCUCUGGCAUCCUCCCUGAAGAGUGAACUAUGGAAAAGUUUGUAAUAACAGUAAAAAAGGAUUGAAAUUCACUGUCUCCUGUGGCUGCAGUUCAGAAUUUGUUUUUGUACCAUAUGGUAGCACCAUUGCUGUUUAUACAGUUUACUCUGGAGAACAGAUAACUAUGCUUAAGGGACAUUAUAAAACUGUUGACUGCUGUGUAUUUCAGUCAAAUUUCCAGGAACUUUAUAGUGGUAGCAGAGACUGCAACAUUCUGGCUUGGGUUCCAUCCUUAUAUGAACCAGUUCCUGAUGAUGAUGAGACUACAACAAAAUCACAAUUAAAUCCGGCCUUUGAAGAUGCCUGGAGCAGCAGUGAUGAAGAAGGAUGAAUAUCACCUUUAGUACCUUUGUGUCUCUGCUGAAACUUUUUAAAUGAGACUGUGUUUUUUUCAACUGUACGGUCUAUUCCUGACAGCUAAAUUAGCCCUAAAUGUGGGUAAUAUUUUUCCUCAUGUUUUAAAAUGAGGUUAAUAUUUGCAUAAAAUCCUAAAACAGACUUCUGUAUAGUUUAUUUAGUCAAAAUGUGUUCCUUGAUCCCAGAUGUUGUGGCCUGGGAAAGCCCUCAUUGCUACAGUACAAGUAACACAAGUCGUUGUACCUCAAUUGUGACCUUCAGCAGAUUUUAUGAACUAUAAGAUGCAGUCUCAGAGGAUCAGCAAGUGGAGGCCAUCAGUAUUGACUUUCUCUUACUUGCUGUACUAUCAGCCUGCUCGUUUCCACCUUCAAGAAUGAUUUUGCCAAGAAUGAUUAUAUCAAAAAUAGUAGUUGCAAUGGUAACAUCAAAAUUAUUUUAUUCUUUCUUCUUCAUGUAUUCACAUUUUUCAAUGGUUUCAUUUAAUUAACCAUGCUUUAUGUUAAACAUUUUGGGGCUCAAUGUCUCCUACUAUCCAAAAUGUGCAUCACAGGAGGCUUUUAACUUUGUGAAAAUCCCAUGUUUGCUUUAUUUUAUUUUAAUGUCAGAAGGCGGUUUGCACUAAUGCUUGAACUCUUUUUCUAUGAAACUCAUUAAGGUAUGACCAAAUCCUGCCUCAUUAAUUCAAGCAGAAAAUAUCCUGGCAGGGAAUCUGGCUUAAACAUGAAAUGCUGUAAUAAAAUUUCUAUGUUAUUGUC
rnacentral:sRNA from 1 species